rnacentral:tRNA from 1 species
GGGAUAGUCGGUAGAGCAUGAGACGCUUAAUCUCAGGGUCGUGGGUUCGAGCCCCGUGUUAGCCA